AUGCAAAAUGAUAGGAUUAAUAUUAUUCAGGGAGUGAGUGGUUUAUAUUGUUAACUUCUAAAAAAACUAAAACAAAACAGAAUUUACAAUUAAAAAAUUAAAAAUAAAGGAAAAUUAUUUUUUUGUUGUUUUAGGACAGACUCUAGUAAAUGUCAAUUUUAUUAGGUCUCUAUAAGCUAUAACCUACACGAUUUAUCUUCUUCAAAAAAAAUGAGUCACUCACUCACACAAAAUAUGACCGCUUUUUAUUGAUUGCACGAGCUAACUACUACCUUGUCUAUUGAGUAUAAGAGAGCAAAUGAUGGUAUAGCAAUGAACAUCGAGAUGAUACUAAGAAAGAUUGUCCGAAGAAUCUCGAUAGUAGUUCGAGCUAUCAAACUUUAGAGGUUUAACUCACACUAACGCUCGUUUAGUAGACAACUCGUCAGUCAAUUGAUUUCACCCGGCGAAUGAGUGGUUUCUAUUGUUAACUUCUAGAAGAAUUCAUUUUGAUUUUUUCUAGAUGAUUCCGUAAUUUUGACAUCUAACAUAUGAUUUCAUCAUAUUCUUUUCGGCCAAAACAUGAUUCAGAAAUUUUAACAUAAAUUCAAAUUGGGCAAAAAAUCAAAAUUUGGAAAUGAUUAUUUUGUAAUUUCUGUUUUA
rnacentral:sRNA from 1 species